rnacentral:lncRNA from 1 species
GUAGAGAGGGGUUUGGAUUCAGGUGUGGAGGAGAAGAAGAAGGGGAGGAAGUCUGCAGUUCGUUCAUGUAUUCAUUCAAUCACACACCAACAGGAAGAGAAUCAAACCAAGGAAAUAAGAACGGUAAGGGGAAAAUAUUAAUUUUUUUUAAAUCUAAAUAAUAUAUUAAAUAUAAAAAAGUGACAUAAUAAAAUACUUCCUCGAAUAUCGCAUUUAAUUCCCAAGAGACAAAGCUUG